CAGUUCGGAUCGGAGUCUGCAACCCGACUCCGUGAAGCUGGAUUCGCUAGUAAUCGCGCAUCAGCCAUGGCGCGGUGAAUACGUUCCCGGGCCUUGUACACACCGCCCGUCAAGCCAUGGAAGCCGGGGGGCGCUUGAAGUGCGUUGCCGCAAGGCGCGCCCUAGAGCGAAACCGGUGACUGGGGCUAAGUCGUAACAAGGUAGC
rnacentral:rRNA from 1 species